UGGUGGGUAGUUUGACUGGGGCGGUCUCCUCCCAAAGCGUAACGGAGGAGCACGAAGGUUAGCUAAUCCUGGUCGGACAUCAGGAGGUUAGUGCAAUGGCAUAAGCUAGCUUGACUGCGAGCGUGACGGCGCGAGCAGGUGCGAAAGCAGGUCAUAGUGAUCCGGUGGUUCUGAAUGGAAGGGCCAUCGCUCAACGGAUAAAAGGUACUCCGGGGAUAACAGGCUGAUACCGCCCAAGAGUUCAUAUCGACGGCGGUGUUUGGCACCUCGAUGUCGGCUCAUCACAUCCUGGGGCUGAAGUAGGUCCCAAGGGUAUGGCUGUUCGCCAUUUAAAGUGGUACGCGAGCUGGGUUUAGAACGUCGUGAGACAGUUCGGUCCCUAUCUGCCGUGGGCGCUGGAGAAUUGAGGGGGGCUGCUCCUAGUACGAGAGGACCGGAGUGGACGCAUCACUGGUGUUCGGGUUGUCAUGCCAAUGGCACUGCCCGGUAGCUAAAUGCGGAAGAGAUAAGUGCUGAAAGCAUCUAAGCACGAAA
rnacentral:rRNA from 1 species